rnacentral:rRNA from 2 species
UACGGAGGGGGCUAGCGUUGUUCGGAAUUACUGGGCGUAAAGCGCACGUAGGCGGCCGUUUAAGUUAGAGGUGAAAGCCCGGGGCUCAACCCCGGAAUUGCCUUUGAUACUGGAUGGCUUGAAUCCAGGAGAGGUGAGUGGAAUUCCGAGUGUAGAGGUGAAAUUCGUAGAUAUUCGGAAGAACACCAGUGGCGAAGGCGGCUCACUGGACUGGUAUUGACGCUGAGGUGCGAAAGCGUGGGGAGCAAACAGG